UGGAUGCGGAGACAGCGUCGUGUGUUUACGAGCUGCCUUUCUGCUGGAUGGUGCUCAGCAGCAGCAGUCACUGUGUUUGUGAUCACAGCUGGUAAAGACCCUCAGGACAGAGGACUCCAGAGCUGCUGCAGGAAGUGACAGGAGGAUCUCUGCAUGAAUGCCAAAGAAAGAAGCAUUUGAAAAAUAAGAUACAAAAGGAGGAAGCAGAAAGGAUGCAGGUGCUGGAUACGAUGGCGUCACGUGGCCGGAGCUCCUCCAGCUCAUCCUCGCCACCUCAGUCAGUCUCUCCUCCCGCUGUUUGAUCAGCCCCCGUGUUCUGGGACACACGUCCCACUCCUGUGCAGCAGGCUCUGUCCUGGGCACAGAAAAUACAACGCAGCACUGAACAAGACAUGCUCCUCAUCUCCGUGAAGUGUGUCAAAAGGGGAUCAAGUUGCAGAUCAGAUUUUCAUUUUGCCAAAGGCUUUUCUGGCAGACUGGACAGGAUGCAUUGGGAGACCAAGUUACCAUUAGGAAAGCCCGUUCAAAGGCGCCACCAUAAUCCAGAAAACUCUCUAAAGAAGAUAAGGUCCUCCUUUAAUGGAGGGGAAAUUGAGAGAUCAGUCUUGUGCCAGGGGGCUCACAGGUGAGACCCAUCAGUGCUGGGAUGUGAACAUGGGGAUGUUGGUGUCCAGAGACUGAACUUAAAUGGAAAUUGGAGUUGAGCCUGAUAGAGAGCAUGACCAAGAGGGAGGAUGUGGGGUCCCCAGAUGCACCCUGUGUCCCCACGCACUUCUUCCCAGGCUGCUGCCUCCUGGCUCUUCCCUGCUUGCCCUCUCGUGGACACAUCAGCCCAAGUGAUGCCUGAAUCUUUCCUGGAUCCUGUGUGCUACGCUCUUCAUUUUCCAAUCAACUGAUUGCCUCUGCCUCCUAGAGGAGGUGGCCAUGGUUCUUGCUGAGAUAGGAGCUGCAGGAACUGCACACCUCUGAUCCUUCUGGACCCAUGGAGAUGUUAGUUUUUCUGCAGCCACCCAGAGGGUACAAGGAGACCAAGUAGGAGGAGAGGGGGUGAGAUUAGAGUAGAUGGAGUGGGUGGUUAAAAGAUAUAUUUAAUUUUUAAAGAAACUGCCAAACUUUUUCCUAACAUGAAUAUCAUUUUGCUUAUUAAUCAAAAUAUAGGGGAGUUUCUGUUGCUCUCCAUACUCACCAGCACUGGGUAUAGUCAGUCCUUUUUAUUUUCACUAUCCAAGAGACACAAUGGUGUCUCCUUGUGAUUUCAAAUUACACUUACCUAGUGGUAAUUGCUCUUGAACAUUUUUUAUGCCUUUUGGGUAUUCAUAUACUUUCUUUGAUAGUGUCUGUUCAAAAUUUUUAACCAUUAAAAUCGAGUUGUUGUAUUUCUUAUAUUUGAUUUGCAAGAAUUUAAAAAAUAUAUUCUGGGGAAGCUGUGGUUUUGGUAUGUAUGUCUUGCAUAUUUCUUUCUAGAUUAACCCUUUGGUAUGCCAUAAUUUUGAUACUACUGAAAAUAUUGUUGCUUUAAUGGACAAUGUCACGAAUCAGAUUUCAGAGUUAAAAAACAAAAUUAAUUUUAAAAAAUAUGACUUCAAGGUAUGCAUUUAAGUAACAAGAUAGUACAUGAAUAGAUAUAUUUACAGGAAAAAAUAAAUGAAUUGAUUUUAAUUUCUCAGAGAUUUGUCCCAGGAUUUCUGUAGAUACAAAAAUCCUUGGUUCAAGUCCCCUGUAUCAAGUAUUGUAGUGGUUUUAUGUAUUUUAUACACUUUGUUCAGUGUACUUUAAAUCAUCUCCAGGUUGCUUAUGAGAAAUAUAAUGUAAAUGCUAUGUAAAUCACUGUCAUAUUGUAUUAUUUAGGAAACAAGGACAAGAAAAAUACCUGUAAACAUUUGAUACACACACAGAUUUUUAAAAAAAUAUUUCCAAUUUUCAGUUAGCUGAAUUUGCUGGUACAGAAUCCAUGAAUAUGAAAGGUUGACUAUAUUUAAGGUUGAUUGAAAUUAGAAAAAUAUUCAGGUUGGUUCUGUAGCAGGGUGAACAUUUUUGGUCAAAUGGAAACAGGAAAGGGAUAUAACCCUUGGAAUCAUUCUACAGAGAUGGGCACGCUCUUCCCACGCCAUGGCCUACUUCUGUCUGUGUCUUUUCCAACAGACUCUGGGCAUCUCAGAGAUUGACAUCCUGACUUUACUGCAGCUCCCCACUUGCUGCUGUAUCUGUGAUACACUGACACAUUUGCAAACUUUUUUUUUGCUAUGAAUGACAAAAAAGACCAUUUGAAUGUGCUUAUCUCUUUAUAUAAAUUGUGUAGUCCAGAGAGCAUUUAUGUGCAGACCGCUGUGCUUUAAAUAGUCCCCUACUCCUAGUCUUUACUUUGUCUAUCACCAUUGUAUGCCCGGAAAAGCAUUUAAUGGGCUAGGACAUCUCUUCAAGGCCAAGGCUGAAGAUUUUUUUAUGUUCCAGUGUUCUGUGCUUCAUUGAUGUCUGAAGACUUCUCAGAGAAUCCUAACAGUUACACACUGACAGGUGUAAAUCUCACAGAUUAUUUUUCACAACACUGGUAUACAUUAAAAAUUAAGUCUUCUGGACUUAGUGAUGAAUAACACAUCAUCAAUUUCUUUUUCCUUAUUUAUAUAUGCUUGGCAGCUCACGCAUAAUAUGAUUAUCUGAUCAAUAAACAAAUGCUUUUUGAAAAAUGGAACAUAGUGCAUUUUAAUAUUCUAUGGACAUGAAUUUCAGAGCAAUGUGAUGCUUGGCAAAGAUGAUGCUUUUUAAAUUUAGAAUUAUUUUAUAGAGUGGAAAGGAUUGUAUUUGCUCAUCUUGCCCCAUUUAAAUUGUAUCCAUCCAGCUCCAUUGCAGGUUACAAAAGUCACUUGAUUUUAUGAAGGAGCUGUUUCUGUCUAUUGUACUUUUAUCCUUCAGGACCCACCCAAAGACAUUUCAAAGGAAGACUCUCUUCUCUGUCCCAUCUGCUCAGAAAAAAUGAAAUAUCUUCUAUUAUAUUCUGCUAAACUGCUAUGUCUUAGUCAUUUUCUCAUUGCUGGGACUUCAUACCUGAUAUCAAUGACUUAAAAGAGAAGAGGUUUACUUUGGUUCAUGGAUUUUAGAGGAUUCAGUCCAUGGUGGUUAGGCCUACA